GCCCUGCGAUGAAAGGUCUGAGCAGCUGGGAACAAACAAGCAGCCACCCAUCCAUUCCUUCGAGAAGUGCAUUAAGGACUGCGAGUAAGGCAAUGCGAUCAUCAAUGACUCUUCCUUCUCCCAGUGCCAGAAAACUGCUUCCAUUUAUCACUUAUUCUCAUCUAAAUUCAUCCUGGUAAUACUGAGCAAAUCACAAGUGGUGGCUACUGAUGUUUUUUUGAGUUGACCUUGUAUCCUGCCACAUCACUGAAGGUAACAAACCGAAAGUAUCCAAAACUGAAAGAAGUGGAUGAUGUGCUUGGUGGAGCAGCUGCCUGGGAGAACGUGGACUCUACUGCAGAGCCAUGUCCCAAAUGUGAACAUCCGCGUGCCUAUUUCAUGCAGCUUCAGACCCGUUCUGCAGAUGAGCCAAUGACCACCUUCUACAAGUGCUGCAAUGCUCAGUGUGGACAUCGCUGGAGAGACUAGGGGCAGGGCUUCCCAGCUGCAGCCCUGACUUUGUGUGCUGAAGGUCUUUGCUGUGUGAUAGGAAGCUAACUCUUCUGUGGUGGAGGACGAGGGUGAAACAGGUCCUCUGCAGGGCUGCCACAUCAAGGGUGAUCUUGUAAAAUUUGACUUCUUAAUUGGGAUGGACAUUAACAUACCUGGACCACACGUGCAGCAGGUUUUGUAAGAAAUUGCUUCCUGGGAGUAGGAAUCACUAUGCUUAAUCCUUAUAUAAAUUAAAGGUGAGUGGAGUCUUACCCUUAGGGCACCUUGAUAGGUUUCCAUUCCAGAGCAACAAGGUCAGAGUUGCAGGUGUCCAAACCAAGGUUGCUAACACAAAACACCUAAGAAAAGCUUGCCAAUUCUUCACGUGCUAAGUCUAGCUGGAAAUAGACACCCACGUCUCAAAGUUUGUCACUGUGCACUGUGUCCCUGCUUUCUCUGAUCACAGCCUUACUCCUAAGACCUUGUUGCCAUGGUCAUUGGCUCAAUUCCUUAUCACUUACUCUAAGAAUGUGCUUUUGACCAAUGAGACGUAACUUUUUCUUUAGCUUCAAGCCUCCUGAAGGAGAAGAAAUCUCAGGCGAGAGGAGAAGAAGCUAGGAGGUAUUAGAAUUAGGAAAGAAUUGGAAUAGAGGCAGAAGAAUAGAGACAUGUUUGGAACAGCAUGUUAUCCCUCAGAUAUUUUAAGUCCUUUCGCUUGCUGUAGCAUUUCAUCUGAACCCUGAAGAGGGUCUUGGGGCUGGACCCCAAAGGCCCUUAAUAAGUAACCCCCAUACACUAUCCCUCAUUAUUGUGAGCUAGCCCCCAACUUGGACACAGACCCCUGCUUGAACAAAGGAAACACCGUCUGCCAGAAGUUCAUGAAGGCCACCUGCCUGCAGACCUCCCACACUCUCUCAGUGUCCCUUCAACACUAUCCUCAAGACCCUUCCCCUCUUUGCUUUUUUCAACCCCUAACUUGGACA